UCCCGGUUGGGAAGGUGCUCGUCACCGGCUAUCAACCGGUGUAGUUCCUGCCAGUUCUCACCCUGUGGCCGGGGA
rnacentral:tRNA from 1 species